rnacentral:rRNA from 1 species
UUCCUACGGGAGCAGCAGUCGGGAAUAUUGCGCAAUGGAGGAAACUCUGACGCAGUGACGCCGCGUGCAGGAAGAAGGUUUUCGGAUUGUAAACUGCUUUAGACAGGGAAGAAACAAGACAGUACCUGUAGAAUAAGCUCCGGCUAACUACGUGCCAGCAGCCGCGGUAAUACGUAGGGAGCAAGCGUUAUCCGGAUUUACUGGGUGUAAAGGGUGCGUAGGUGGCAGGGCAAGUCUGAAGUGAAAGCCCAAGGCUCAACCAUGGGACUGCUUUGGAAACUGUUAAGCUAGAGUGCUGGAGAGGG